rnacentral:rRNA from 1 species
UACGGAGGGUGCGAGCGUUAAUCGGAAUUACUGGGCGUAAAGCGCACGUAGGUGGCGACGUAAGUCGGGUGUGAAAGCCCCGGGCUCAACCUGGGAAUUGCAUUCGAGACUGCAUUGCUGGAGUACGGAAGAGGAAGGCGGAAUUCCCGGUGUAGCGGUGAAAUGCGUAGAUAUCGGGAGGAACAUCAGUGGCGAAGGCGGCCUUCUGGUCCAGUACUGACACUCAAGUGCGAAAGCGUGGGGAGCAAACAGG